ensembl:snRNA U4 U4 spliceosomal RNA
AGCUUUGCUCAGUGGUGGCACUGUAGCAGCCAAUAAGGUUUAUCUGAGGUGCCAUUAUUAUUAAUUGAAAACUUUACUCAGUGCCCCACCGUGAAGACUUGCCAUAGAGUCAGCAUUGGCAAUUUUUGACAACUUCUAUGGACAGUGAAUUUUAAAAAGAGG